rnacentral:rRNA from 1 species
UAGGGAAUAUUAGAAAUGGACGAAAGUCUGAUCUAGCAACACCGCGUGUGCGAAGAAGGCCUUCGGGUUGUAAAGCACUUUUUGGAAGGAUUAGGAAGGAAUGUACUUCCAGAAUAAGUCUCGGCUAACUACGUGCCAGCAGCCGCGGUAACACGUAGGAGGCAAACGUUAUCCGGAUUUACUGGGCGUAAAGCGCGUGUAGGUGGUUCUGUAAGUAGGGCGUGAAAGCUCCUGGCUCAACUGGGAGAGGCCGUUCUAAACUACAGAACUAGAGGAUGGUAGAGGGAGGUGGAAUUCCAGGUGUAGCGGUGGAAUGCGCAGAUAUCAGGAGGAACACCGGUGGCGAAGGCGGCCACCUGGACAGGUAUUGACGCUGAGGUGCGAAAGUGUGGGGAGCAAACA